rnacentral:rRNA from 1 species
CGGGACACGUGGUAUCCUGUCUGAAUAUGGGGGGACCAUCCUCCAAGGCUAAAUACUCCUGACUGACCGAUAGUGAACCAGUACCGUGAGGGAAAGGCGAAAAGAACCCCGGCGAGGGGAGUGAAAAAGAACCUGAAACCGUGUACGUACAAGCAGUGGGAGCACGCUUAGGCGUGUGACUGCGUACCUUUUGUAUAAUGGGUCAGCGACUUAUAUUCUGUAGCAAGGUUAACCGAAUAGGGGAGCCGAAGGGAAACCGAGUCUUAACUGGGCGUUAAGUUGCAGGGUAUAGACCCGAAACCCGGUGAUCUAGCCAUGGGCAGGUUGAAGGUUGGGUAACACUAACUGGAGGACCGAACCGACUAAUGUUGAAAAAUUAGCGGAUGACUUGUGGCUGGGGGUGAAAGGCCAAUCAAACCGGGAGAUAGCUGGUUCUCCCCGAAAGCUAUUUAGGUAGCGCCUCGUGAAUUCAUCUCCGGGGGUAGAGCACUGUUUCGGCAAGGGGGUCAUCCCGACUUACCAACCCGAUGCAAACUGCGAAUACCGGAGAAUGUUAUCACGGGAGACACACGGCGGGUGCUAACGUCCGUCGUGAAGAGGGAAACAACCCAGACCGCCAGCUAAGGUCCCAAAGUCAUGGUUAAGUGGGAAACGAUGUGGGAAGGCCCAGACAGCCAGGAUGUUGGCUUAGAAGCAGCCAUCAUUUAAAGAAAGCGUAAUAGCUCACUGGUCGAGUCGGCCUGCGCGGAAGAUGUAACGGGGCUAAACCAUGCACCGAAGCUGCGGCAGCGACGCUGAUGCGUUGUUGGGUAGGGGAGCGUUCUGUAAGCCUGCGAAGGUGUGCUGUGAGG